UGCGGAGAGAUAUCGUCCUCGCGGAUGCUCCUUCUCAUAUUCUUUGUGGUCAUGACGAUAUAAUAACAUGCUUAUAUGUCAGCACUGAUCUUGACAUAGUCAUCAGUGGGUCAAAAGAUGGAACCUGUGUUUUCCACACAUUGCGAGAAGGAAGAUACAUAAGAUCCUUAAAACAUCCUUCAGGCAGCGCAGUUUCGAAGCUUGCUGCAUCGCACCAUGGACGGAUUGUUCUGUACGGUGAUGAUGAUCUUAGUCUGCACCUCUACUCCAUUAACGGAAAACAUCUCGCCAGCUCCGAGUCAAAUGGACGCAUCAAUUGUCUUGAACUUAGUAAGUGUGGAGAGUUUUUGGUUACUGCCGGAGACCAAGGACAAAUAGUUGUUCGGUCUAUGAACACCCUUGAAGUAGUAAGAAGGUAUAGCGGAGCCGGGAAAAUAAUCAGCUCUUUGACUGUAACUCAAGAAGAGUGUUUCUUAGCAGGGACAAAAGAUGGAGCCCUUCUUGUUUAUUCAAUCGAGAAUCCUCAGCAUCGGAAACCAAGCCCAAUCUGGAGCAUAAAAUCCUGAAGCAGAACUUGAUCAAACGUCAAUGAUAUGUUCUGUGUGUAAAUCUGUGUCCCAUGAUUCCAUUGGUUCUCGAUUCGUGGCUUAUCUUGUAGACCGCAGAGGGACUUUACAAACUUUUUACAGCCUUGUAAAUGUGCCAUAUAUCUCAUCUUAAUAGAUUAAGAUGCAUAGACAAUAGAGAGGUGUUGAUUGAUGUAACAUAACCCAUAUUAGAGAUAUAUAUGCCUUUGGUGCGUUUAAAGAGGUAAUACGAUUUGCAUGCGUGCUCGGGGAUUAAAGUAAGAAUCUAUACCACGUAUGUCAAAGUGUAAAAAUCCAAGUCAAAAGUAUGUCAUUGCGCUAAGCCCAACGUAUGUCAUAUUUUUUUAUUUUAUUUUUAUAGUUCAAAAACAUUAAUUAAACUCUAUAACAUCAAUUAUCCUGAACAGAGGAGUCCACACGUUCGAAAACUGGUCGAUUGUGUUAGAUCGUUGGAUGGAGAAACCACCUGAAGACUAUCUCAAGUUUAUUAUGGUGUGGGUCCAAAUGAGAAACAUUCCGGUGAACCAUUAUACCCUUGAAACCAUUGAGGCAUUGGGGGAGUUUGCUGGCCAUGUGGUUGAGGUUCCUUUCGACCCGGAGAAGGCACAGGUCAAAGAUUAUGUAAGAGUACUAGUUCGUUUUGACGUCUCAAAGCCACUGAGAAGAUCAAAAAAACUUACUUUACCUGGAGGGGAGGUUGUCAACAUUUUGUAUGAUUAUGAACGCAUCCAAAAGAGAUGUUACACUUGUCAAAGAUUAACGCAUGAGCAAUCAAUGUGCCCUUGGCGUAAAGUUGAUAAGGAGGCUACGGUGGGAGCUUCCUGCUCUUCGGGGGAAAGCAAGAAUACUGAAGUGCUGAACUCGCUUGAGGAAUCUGACCCGCUCUUUGGAGUCCUCUCUAGCAAACACCUCGGUCUUGAACCUGUUUCAGGUCGGCCCAAGAUUGCAAAGGAGGUUAUGGAUGGUAUGAGACAGUACCUGCAGGUUGAUGAGGGGCCAGAAAAGAUGGCGAGAGUAGAAAGAGUCAAGAAAUCCCUUGAGGAUUUGGAGAAUGAUCCUUUAGGGCAGAAAGUCUUUCUUCGGUUGGAAUCAGCUCCGAUCCUGUCCUCAUCUCUUGAUAAAGGAAAAGGUGCAGUUUUUGACUUCAGCUCUCAAGCGGAGCCUCAACCAAGACAAGAAAAGCUUAUGGCUAGCGCUAUUGCGGCGGGCUCCAAGAUCCUUCAGUCUGGAAAGGUGGUUGCUCCUGAUCCGGCUGCUAAGGAGUAUGAGGUCUAUGCUCAGUCCGGUUUUCUUGUGCAGGGUUCAACGGGUUAUAGUGUAGGUAUCUCUGAUACUAGCAUUUCCGGGACUCUUCUAAAGAAACCUAAACAGCGUAAAAGACCUGGAACCUAUUCGAGGAAAGCAACAGGGAAAAGGGUAGUGAAAGCUGAGGCUGGAGGUAUCGUACGGGUGGGAGAAGGAGUGAUCUCAGACGGCAAGAGAAAAGCACAUGAUGAUGUCGAGCCAUCUAAAAGCUCUGCAAGGUUUAAGAAACCAUUGGUGGUCCCGAGUGAGGGACCGUCCAAUAUUUAAAUGACUAUGCUGAGCUGGAACUGCCAUGGACUGGGCCGUGCAAAGGACCUGGUGAUUCCAAGACUACGGGAGAUACGUCAAGAAUAUUUCCCGGAUAUUUUGUUUUUGAUGGAGACGAAGCAUAGUCGUGAUGAUUUGGUGGAUGUGCAAACUUGGCUUGGCUACGAUAGGAUCAUGACUGUCAAUCCUAUUGGGUACAGCGGAGGUCUAGCCUUGAUGUGGAAGAAUUCUGUAAAUAUCGGGUUUAAGUUUGUAGACAAGAAUCUUGUAGAUUUCGGUGUGAAGUUUGGCAAAGACUCCUUCUUUGUGUCGUGUGUCUACGGUGAACCAAUCCAGGGUAAUAGAGCAAAGGUGUGGGAAAGGUUAUCUAGGAUUGGGGCACAUAGAAAAGACCCAUGGUGUAUUAUGGGGGAUUUCAAUGAGAUAAGAAACAAUGGAGAGAAAAUUGGUGGUCCGCGCAGAGGUGAAGCUUCUUUUCAGGAUUUUAAUGAUAUGCUAGACAUCGGAGAAAUGGUGGAACUUCAGAGCUGUGGUGACAACCUGACUUGGGGAGGUAAGCGUGGAGAUUCAUGGAUAAGAUCGAGACUAGAUAGGUGUUUUGGUAACAAGAAAUGGAUGCAACUCUUUCCAGCUUCUAACCAAGCAUUUCUGGACAAACGAGGGUCAGAUCACAGACCAGUUCUUGUGAGGCUCGUCUCUUCAUCUGAGCCUUUUAGAGGUAGUUUCAGAUUUGAUAGAAGGUUCCUUAACAAUCCAGGGGUCAAAGAUGAGAUCAAGAAGGUUUGGCUAACAAAUCACUCCCUCUUUGAGGCCAAGAUUUCCGAUAAACUUAAAAGAUGCAGGAAGGCUCUGAGCAAAUGGAAAAAAAAGGAAAACCUAAACUCCAGAGAUAAGAUCAAACAGAUUCAAGUGGCUUUAGAGGCUGAACAGUCUUCAAGUUUCCCUUUGGCCAGGAGAGUCAACUAUCUGAAAGAGGAGCUGAUCAAAGCUUACAAAGAGGAAGAGCUGUAUUGGAAGCAGAAAAGUAAAGAUCGAUGGGCUGUUAAAGGUGAUCUGAACACGAAGUACUACCAUGAGUCGGUAAAGUCAACCAGAGCAAAGAACAGGAUCAUCAAACUGAUGGACGAGAAUGGGCAAGAACAGUUCUCUGAAGCGGCCAAGGCAGAAGUGGCCAAUGAUUAUUUCAAGAAUCUGUUCAGGUCCUCAAAUGAGACAGACUUCAGUGAACUCUUUGAUGGUUUCUCUCCUCGGGUGUCAUUGGGGAUGAAUGAAUUUUUAACAAGAGAGGUUACGAAUGAGGAAGUCAGAGAAGCAGUUUUCGCUAUCAAGCCUGGUAGUGCUCCCGGUCCUGACGGUAUGACAGGCAUGUUCUUCCAGAAAUAUUGGGACACGGUGGGAGUACAGGUUACUAAAGAAGUGCACCAAUUUUUCCUCUCUGGAGUCUUCCCGGUUGACUGGAACUACACUCAUCUCUGCCUUCUUCCAAAAACUCAGGAUCCAACCUUGAUGACCGACCUUAGACCAAUAAGCUUGUGUUCAGUCUUGUACAAGAUUAUUUCGAAGAUUAUGGUCAGCAGAUUGAAGCCUUUCUUACCUGAUAUUGUCUCUCCCACGCAGUCAGCCUUUGUCGAGGAAAGGCUCAUAUCUGAUAACAUCCUAAUAGCUCAUGAGAUGAUUCAUGCCCUGAAGACGAAUGACAAAGUGGCCAAAGAGUUCAUAGCCAUCAAAUCCGACAUGUCAAAAGCCUAUGACAGAGUCGAGUGGAGUUACCUGAGAGCGCUUCUUAAUGCGUUGGGCUUUGAUGGGGUUUGGAUCGAGAGAGCUAUGUUCUGUGUCACCACGGUAACAUACUCCACCUUGAUUAAUGAUCAACCGUUUGGAUGCAUUCAACCUGAGAGGGGAUUAAGGCAAGGGGAUCCUCUUUCUCCCUUCUUGUUUGUCCUAUGUACGGAAGGCCUUAUCCACAUGAUUGAACAAGCGGUGGGACAAGGAAAGCUGCAAGGUAUCCAAUUUUCAGAGGAAGGUCCAAUGAUCCACCACAUGUUGUUUGCUGAUGACAGCCUGAUGUUGUGUAAGGCGUCUCUUAGCCAAGUAUCCGAGUUGAUGAAGAUCCUUCAAGUCUAUGAGAAAGCCACAGGACAGAAAGUCAACCUUGACAAAUCAGCUAUCACUUUCGGAGCCAAGAUUGAUGAGAUAUCGAAGCAAUUUCUUAAAGACCUCACAGGGAUAGUGAAAGAAGGAGGGACGGGGUCUUAUUUGGGCUUGCCGGAAUGCUUCAGUAGAUCAAAAACUGAGAUGCUUGCUUACAUCUACGACAGGCUCAAGGACAGACUCUCUUGCUAUUUUGUCAAAUUACUGUCGCACGGAGGGAAGGAGGUUCUUAUUAAGGCAGUGGCCAUGGCAAUGCCGGUCUAUGCGAUGUCCUGCUUCAAACUAACCAAGAAGUCGUGUGAGAAUUUAACUAAAGCUAUGGCUGACUUCUGGUGGAACUCUAUGGAGCACAAAAGGAAGAUUCAUUGGCUCAGUUGGACGAAAAUGUCUCUGGCUAAAGAACAGGGGGUUCUUGGAUUCAAAGAUAUUCAGUUGUUCAAUCAAUCCUUGCUAGCCAAGCAAGCUUGGAGAAUCCUAAACUAUUCGGAAUCGCUUUUUGCUAGACUGUUCAAAAGUAGAUACUUUGAGAAUGGAAAUUUCCUCUCUGCUGGUAACGGACCGCGGCCAUCCUACGGUUGGCGAAGCAUCCAGUUUGGCAAGGAACUGCUACAACAAGGCAUUAGAAAACGGUUGGGGAAUGGAAAAUCCAUCUCGGUGUGGGUAGAUGAAUGGAUAGAAGGUGAAGUGAGAAGAAGGCCUCUAAUGAAGAAUAUUUUUGUUGAUCUAAUGCUCAAGGUUAAUGAUCUCAUCGAUGGAAAAAUGCUGUAUACGGACAUAUCACAUAACAGUUCUGUUUGUGGCCAGGGUGGUAAAUUUGAUCACGCAGAUCGUCUUUUUCAAAGUAUUGAGGGGACAUAUCGAAAUUGCCUGUCAAAUACAAGCGAUGUAAAAGAAUUGAUCCCUGAGUUCUUCUACAUGCCUGAAUUUCUGGUGAAUUCUAACUCUUACCACCUUGGAGUGAAACAAGACGGUGAACCUCUCGGAGAUAUUUGUCUACCUCCAUGGGCUAAGGUAUGCUUCUCACACGUAUUAUAUACAGGGUAAUCUAGUGGAGCGCUGAAUUAGUUUCUGGAGUUCGGUGGGACAACUGAGUAUGUUGCUAUAUAUAUUAAGAGUACUGUUGUGGUAUGAAAAACAUGUUCAUGAGGUGUGUUUGGUCCUUAUUGAAGAAGACCACCUAUAAAACUAUGAUUAUGUGGAGAUUAGCGCGGAGUAGUAACAAACUAAACUUGAAACUUCCUUUGGUAGUGUGUGGGCGCUAAGGAUUGUAGUGACAGUUUGUUUAGAUUUGUUUUCUAGACAUCCCGAGACAUCCCGAAUGUACCGUUGUUUAAUCUCCUUGAGAACUUCAUAGCCAAUUAUAUAUGCAGGGUUCUCCAGAGAUGUUUAUUGCUCGCAAUAGAGAAGCCCUAGAGAGCGAGUAUGUUAGCUCACAUCUCCAUGAAUGGAUUGAUUUGAUAUUUGGACAUAAACAGCGUGGCAAACCAGCUGUGGAGGUACCCCGAUUAAUUUUCUCAGACUAGCUUUAUUUGUUGCUCGGUACUUCAUAUUUCAUAAGCUCGCAUAUUUUCUGUUGUAACCUCUUAUUCGGUUCUUAUUAAAAAUUAAAUACUCCUUAACUGCAGGCAGCAAAUAUCUUUUAUUACCUUACAUAUGAAGGUGCUGUUGACGUAGAAAAUAUGGAAGACGAACUGCAAAUAUCAGCAGUUGAAGAUCAGAUUGCUAAUUUUGGUCAAACUCCAAUCCAGAUCUUCCGGAAGAAACAUCCGAGAAGAGGGCCGCCUAUUCCAAUUGCACAUCCGUUGUACUUUGCUCCUGCGUCCAUCAAUUUGACUUCCAUUCUUCCCGCUACGACUAACCCCCCAUCAUCAGUUCUAUAUGUCGGUGUUCUAGAUUCAAAUAUAGUUCUUGUCAACCAGGGUCUCACUUUGUCAGUCAAGAUUUGGUUGACAACUCAACUACAUUCUGGCGGAAAUUUUACUUUCUCUAGCUCUCAGGUAUGUUCUCCAUUAUCUUUUUGGAUUCCAUUAAUUCAAUAUUACAUUGUACGACAUUAGCUGAGGCCUCUUUUACUGCAGGAUCCAUACUUCGGAGUUGGUUCUGAUGUUCUCUCUCCCCGCAACAUUGGAAGUCCCCUUGCAGACAAUGUUGAACUUGGAUCACAAUGCUUUGCCACAAUGCAAACCCCACAGGAAAACUUUCUGGUUUCAUGUGGGAACUGGGAGAACAGUUUUCAUGUCAUAUCCUUGGCUGAUGGACGGGUAGUCCAGAGCAUCCGACAUCAUAAAGACGUCGUAAGCUGUGUUGCAGGUAUGUUAUUUGUCCUCUGCUUCCUUUGCCUGGCUAAUGAUAUGAGGCUCUAGGAUAGGUUUUCCUUAAUGUUCGAGAAAGUAUUCCAAUCUGGAAUUAUGGCAAAGAAUAACAACAUUAUUUUGACUCGGAAAAUCACUCAAUCCCAUAAUCUAGGUGCUUCAUUCAAAUAUAGUUUUCGUUGGCCACGUCUAGCAUUUCAUUUUUUGCUAAAGCUACUCAUGCCUUACUGAUUAUAUCAUUAAUACUGCAGUGACUGCUGAUUCAAGCAUUCUUGCAACUGGUAGCUAUGAUACGACUGUGAUGGUGUGGGACAUUCUCCGCAUGAAAACACCUGAAAAGAGGGUGAAAAAUAUGCACGCAGAAGCACUGCGGAGAGAUAUCGUCCUCGCGGAUGCUCCUUCUCACAUUCUUUGUGGUCAUGACGAUAUAAUAACAUGCUUAUAUGUCAGCACUGAUCUUGACAUAGUCAUCAGUGGGUCAAAAGAUGGAACCUGUGUUUUCCACACAUUGCGAGAAGGAAGAUACAUAAGAUCCUUAAAACAUCCUUCAGGCAGCGCAGUUUCGAAGCUUGCUGCAUCGCACCAUGGACGGAUUGUUCUGUACGGUGAUGAUGA
rnacentral:lncRNA from 1 species